rnacentral:rRNA from 1 species
CACGUAGGCACCAAGCGUUGUCCGGAUUUAUUGGGCGUAAAGAGCUCGUAGGCGGUUCGGUAAGUCGGGUGUGAAAACUUUGGGCUCAACCCAAAGCCUGCACCCGAUACUGCUGUGACUUGAGUCCGGUAGGGGAGUGGGGGAAUUCCUGGUGUAGCGGUGGAAUGCGCAGAUAUCAGGAGGAACACCGGUGGCGAAGGCGCCACUCUGGGCCGGUACUGACGCUGAGGCGCGAAGGUCAGGGGAGCAAACGGG